rnacentral:rRNA from 1 species
GACGAACGCUGGCGGCGUGCCUAAUACAUGCAAGUAGAACGCUGACUACUUUAGCUUGCUAGAGUAGAAGGAGUUGCGAACGGGUGAGUAACGCGUAGGUAACCUGCCUACUAGCGGGGGAUAACUAUUGGAAACGAUAGCUAAUACCGCAUAACAGUGUUUAACACAUGUUAGAUGCUUGAAAGAUGCAAUUGCAUCACUAGUAGAUGGACCUGCGUUGUAUUAGCUAGUUGGUGGGGUAACGGCCCACCAAGGCGACGAUACAUAGCCGACCUGAGAGGGUGAUCGGCCACACUGGGACUGAGACACGGCCCAGACUCCUACGGGAGGCAGCAGUAGGGAAUCUUCGGCAAUGGACGAAAGUCUGACCGAGCAACGCUGCGUGAGUGAAGAAGGUUUUCGGAUCGUAAAGCUCUGUUGUAAGAGAAGGACAGGUGUGAGAGUGGAAAGUUCACACUGUGACGGUAUCUUACCAGAAAGGGACGGCUAACUACGUGCCAGCCGCCGCCGUAA